AUUGAACGCUGGCGGCAGGCCUAACACAUGCAAGUCGAGCGAGCGGCGGACGGGUGAGUAAUGUCCGGGAAACUGCCCGAUGGAGGGGGAUAAGUACUGGAAAUGGUAGCAAAUACCGCAUCCCAUUUGAGGUGUCGAGAUGGGAUUAGCGAGUAGGUGGGGUAACGGCUGAUCUAGGCGACGAUCCCUAGCUGGUCUGAGAGGAUGAUCAGCCACACUGGGACUGAGACACGGUCCAGACUCCUACGGGAGGCAGCAGUGGGGAAUAUUGCACAAUGGGCGCAAGCCUGAUGCAGCCAUGCCGCGUGUGUGAAGAAGGCCUUCGGGUUGUAAACCGCGUUCAGCGGGGAGGCGUUACCCACACAAGAAGCACCGGCUAACUCCGUGCCAGCAGCCGCGGUAAUAC
rnacentral:rRNA from 1 species